rnacentral:rRNA from 1 species
AGGCGACCUACCCAUGGUCAGGAUGAAGUUUCCUUAACCGGAAAUGGAGGUCCGAACCCACGCACGUUGAAAAGUGCGGGGAUGAACUGUGGGUAGAGGUGAAAUUCCAAUCGAGCCUGGAGAUAGCUGGUUCUCUCCGAAAUAGCUUUAGGGCUAGCGUCAGAGUUUAGAUUGCAGGAGGUAGAGCACUGACUGUCCUAGGGGCCCUUUGGGUUACCGAAGACUAUCAAACUCCGAAUGCCUGUAUAUUAUAUCUGGCAGUCAGACUAUGAGUGAUAAGAUCCAUGGUCAAGAGGGCAACAGCCCAGACCGUCAGCUAAGGUCCCAAAAUGUGUGUUAAGUGGAAAAGGAUGUGGGAUUGCCCAGACAACCAGGAUGUUGGCUUAGAAGCAGCCAUUCAUUUAAAGAGUGCGUAAUAGCUCACUGGUCGAGUGGUCCCGCGCCGAAAAUUACCGGGGC